rnacentral:rRNA from 2 species
GGGGGCUAAUACUGCAAGUCGUACGAGCUCCAAAUUGAUUUUAUGCUUGCAUAAAUGAUUUUUGGAUUCGGAGCGAGUGGCGAACUGGUGAGUAACACGUGGGUAACCUGCCCCAAAGCGGGGGAUAACAUUUGGAAACAAGUGCUAAUACCGCAUAAUUAGUUGGAACCGCAUGGUUCCAACUUGAAAGAUGGCUCUGCUAUCACUUUGGGAUGGACCCGCGCCGUAUUAGUUAGUUGGUGAGAUAAAAGCCCACCAAGGCGAUGAUACGUAGCCGACCUGAGAGGGUAAUCGGCCACAUUGGGACUGAGACACGGCCCAGACUCCUACGGGAGGCAGCAGUAGGGAAUCUUCCACAAUGGACGAAAGUCUGAUGGAGCAACGCCGCGUGAGUGAUGAAGGUUUUCGGAUCGUAAAACUCUGUUGUUAAAGAAGAACAAGUGUUAGAGUAACUGUUAACACUUUGACGGUAUUUAACCAGAAAGCCACGGCUAACUACGUGCCAGCAGCCGCGGUAAUACGUAGGUGGCAAGCGUUGUCCGGAUUUAUUGGGCGUAAAGCGAGCGCAGGCGGUUUUGUAAGUCUGCUGUGAAAGCCCUCAGCUUAACUGAGGAAGUGCAGUGGAAACUACAAAACUUGAGUACAGAAGAGGAAAGUGGAACUCCAUGUGUAGCGGUGAAAUGCGUAGAUAUAUGGAAGAACACCAGUGGCGAAGGCGGCUUUCUGGUCUGUUACUGACGCUGAGGCUCGAAAGCAUGGGUAGCGAACAGGAUUAGAUACCCUGGUAGUCCAUGCCGUAAACGAUGAAUACUAGGUGUUGGAGGGUUUCCGCCCUUCAGUGCCGCAGCUAACGCAUUAAGUAUUCCGCCUGGGGAGUACGACCGCAAGGUUGAAACUCAAAGGAAUUGACGGGGGCCCGCACAAGUGGUGGAGCAUGUGGUUUAAUUCGAUGCUACGCGAAGAACCUUACCAGCUCUUGACAUCUUCUGCCAACCCAAGAGAUUGGGCGUUCCCUUCGGGGACAGAAUGACAGGUGGUGCAUGGUUGUCGUCAGCUCGUGUCGUGAGAUGUUGGGUUAAGUCCCGCAACGAGCGCAACCC